GCAACACCAAGCAUACUAAAGAAAUUAAAGAAAUACUAGAAAAAUAAAAUCUUCAAAACCCGAAAAUUAGAAAAGCAGAGAAGAGGAAGAGGAAGAGGAGGCUCAGAUUAACCAAUUUCUGCAAUUAAAUCGAAACGGCUGCAAACGGUUGCCUUCGCAAGAACAAUAGAAGGCCAUCCAAGAUUACCUGACCGUUUGGAAGUGUUGCUGCUUGAAAUCAGUCGAGGUUGGAAAGAGGGCGACUGAGCCCCGCGCAGGAUUGCAGCGCUGGAGCAACCUGGCAAAACAAGUCCAAAUCAGAGGUUGUGGCUCCGACGAGGACCCUCCAACGCUCAAGUCAAAUUCAGAGAACAAUAAAACAGCAACGAGCUCUCUGAAAGGGAUUGAUUGGCUUACUUGAUCCUCGGGACUCCGAUGGUUUAUAUAGAAGGCUGUCGAACAACUGGUUGCAUGGCCGUGAGAACGUGCAAUCCCAAUAUUGCAAGGUGUUGGACAUACUAUUGUGGGCGAAAUAAUUCAGCCUUCAAUCACUCCCGCGAGCUUGGAGGAGCUCGUUAUGCCUUAGUUGAUCCACUCAGAGUGGACAGCUAUCACACACAUCGAAGAAAUAAGUCGACUGAGGCAAUAGGGGCAGCUCAUAUGCUAAAUGGACUGCGUGGGCGCCUCAGUUCUGCAUAACGAUUAGUGGCCGUGGUGGUGACUCGGCAACUUGAAGUAGCCCGCAACACCAUGCUGAUCCGAGCAUUCGCGGUAACCGUCGAUCCGUGGCACUUACGGUAACCACCGUAACAGGAAGAAACCCUAGUUUGCCAUGAAUUCUUUAGAAGUGACACCAACCAUACUAAAUAAAAUCAAAGAAAACGUAGAAAAACAAAAUCUUGAAAAAAACCCAGAAAUUAGUAAAGCAGGGAAGAAGAAGAGGAAGAGGAGGCUCAGAUUAACCAAUUUCUGCAAUUAAAUCGAAUCGGCUGCAAAUGGUUGCCUUCGUAAGAACAACAGAAGGCCAUCCAAGAUUACCUCACCGUUUGCCAUGAAUUCUUCAGCGCAACACCAAGCACACCAAAGAAAUUAAAGAAUUACUAGAAAAACAAAAUCUUGAAAAAAACCUGGAAAUUAGAAAAAAAGCAGGGAAGAAGAAGAGGAGGCUCAGAUUAACCAAUUUCUGCAAUUAAAUCGAAAUGGCUGCAAACAGUUGCCUUCGCAAGAACAACAGAAGGCCAUCCAAGAUUACCUCCCCGUCUGCCAUGAAUUCUUCAGGGGCAACACCAAGCACACCAAAGAAAUUAAAGAAAUACUAGGAAAACAAAAUCUUGGAAAAAACCCAGAAAUUAGAAAAGCAGGGAAGAGGAAGAGGAAGAGGAGGCUCAAGAUUAACCACUUUCUGCAAUUAAAUCGAAACGGCAGCAAACGGUUGCCUUCGCAAGAACAACAGAAGGCCAUCCAAGAUNNNNNNNNNNNNNNNNNNNNAUUUGCCAUGAAUUCUUCAGGGGCAACACCAAGCAUACCAAAGAAACUAAAGAAAUACUAGAAAAACAAAAUCUUGGAAAAAACCCCGAAAUUAGAAAAGCAGAGAAGAAGAAGAGGAGGGCUCAGAUUUACCAAUCUCUGCAAUUAAAUCGAAACGGCCGCAAACGGUUGCCUUAGCAAGAACACAUAAGGCCAACCAAGAUUCCCUCGCCGUUUGAAACCAACCAUUAUCCCACUCGACAAUGCAGCAAAACCCUCAUCCAAAAAUCAUCACAGCCUCCUCAUAUAAGAUCGCAGAGCAAGGAUAAAAGACACAGAGACGAAAGAAAAAUAAGAAAGAGAAAGAAACAUAACUUCACGGACAUUACCCACCAAUAAACAUAAUUUCUCAACAAUGUUGCAAAACCCUCGUCCAAGAAUCAUCACAGCCUCCUCAUAUAAAAUCGUAUAACAAAAAGAAGAAUAAGAUCCUGCAUCCACAGAGACGAGAGAAAAGAAGAAAGAGAAAAAAACAUAACUCCACGGCCAUUAC
rnacentral:lncRNA from 1 species